AUUGAACGCUGGCGGCAUGCUUUACACAUGCAAGUCGAACGGUAACAGGCCUUCGGGUGCUGACGAGUGGCGAACGGGUGAGUAAUGCAUCGGAACGUACCCAGAGGUGGGGGAUAACGCAGCGAAAGCUGUGCUAAUACCGCAUGUGAUCUGAGGAUGAAAGCGGGGGACCGAGCAGCAAUGUUUGGCCUCGCGCCUUUGGAGCGGCCGAUGUCGGAUUAGCUAGUUGGUGGGGUAAAGGCCUACCAAGGCGACGAUCCGUAGCUGGUCUGAGAGGACGAUCAGCCACACUGGGACUGAGACACGGUCCAGACUCCUACGGGAGGCAGCAGUGGGGAAUUUUGGACAAUGGGCGCAAGCCUGAUCCAGCAAUGCCGCGUGCGGGAAGAAGGCCUUCGGGUUGUAAACCGCUUUUGGCAGGAACGAAACGGUGUCCGCUAAUACCGGGCGCUAAUGACGGUACCUGCAGAAUAAGCACCGGCUAACUACGUG
rnacentral:rRNA from 1 species